rnacentral:rRNA from 1 species
UACGUAGGGGGCUAGCGUUGUCCGGAUUUAUUGGGCGUAAAGGGCGCGUAGGCGGCCCUUCGAGUCGGGGGUGAAAUCCCACGGCCCAACCGUGGAAGUGCCUCCGAUACUGGAGGGCUCGAGGGGGGUAGGGGCAGGUGGAACUUCCGGUGGAGCGGUGAAAUGCGUUGAUAUCGGAAGGAACGCCGGUGGCGAAAGCGACCUGCUGGACCUCUUCUGACGCUGAGGCGCGAAA